rnacentral:misc_RNA from 1 species
AACGAGGCCGACCUGCGGCUGAGUUACCUGCGGAGGGAUCAUUACACAACAAAAUAUGAAGGUCUGGCUUCGCGGCCGGCUGAAGUAUUUUUUUUCACCCAUGUCUUUUGCGCACUUGUUGUUUCCUGGGCGGGUUCGCCCGCCACCAGGACCAAACCAUAAACCUUUUUUUUAUGUAGUUGCAAUCAGCGUCAGUAAAAACAAUGUAAUUAUUACAACUUUUAACAAUGGAUCUCAGAU